rnacentral:rRNA from 1 species
GAUGAACGCUGGCGGCGUGCCUAAUACAUGCGAGUCGAGCGAACAGACGAGGAGCUUGCUCCUCUGACGUUAGCGGCGGACGGGUGAGUAACACGUGGAUAACCUACCUAUAAGACUGGGAUAACUUCGGGAAACCGGAGCUAAUACCGGAUAAUAUAUUGAACCGCAUGGUUCAAUAGUGAAAGACGGUUUUGCUGUCACUUAUAGAUGGAUCCGCGCCGCAUUAGCUAGUUGGUAAGGUAACGGCUUACCAAGGCAACGAUGCGUAGCCGACCUGAGAGGGUGAUCGGCGACACUGGAACUGAGACACGGUCCAGACUCCUACGGGAGGCAGCAGUAGGGAAUCUUCCGCAAUGGGCGAAAGCCUGACGGAGCAACGCCGCGUGAGUGAUGAUGGUCUUCGGAUCGUAAAACUCUGUUAUUAGGGAAGAACAAAUGUGUAAGUAACUAUGCACGUCUUGACGGUACCUAAUCAGAAAGCCACGGCUAACUACGUG